rnacentral:rRNA from 1 species
GACGAACGCUGGCGGCGUGCCUAAUACAUGCAAGUAGAACGCUGAAGAGAGGAGCUUGCUCUUCUGGAUGAGUUGCGAACGGGUGAGUAACGCGUAGGUAACCUGCCUUGUAGCGGGGGAUAACUAUUGGAAACGAUAGCUAAUACCGCAUAACAAUAGGUGACACAUGUCAUUUAUUUGAAAGGGGCAAUUGCUCCACUACAAGAUGGACCUGCGUUGUAUUAGCUAGUAGGUGAGGUAACGGCUCACCUAGGCGACGAUACAUAGCCGACCUGAGAGGGUGAUCGGCCACACUGGGACUGAGACACGGCCCAGACUCCUACGGGAGGCAGCAGUAGGGAAUCUUCGGCAAUGGGGGCAACCCUGACCGAGCAACGCCGCGUGAGUGAAGAAGGUUUUCGGAUCGUAAAGCUCUGUUGUAAGUCAAGAACGAGUGUGAGAGUGGAAAGUUCACACUAUGACGGUAGCUUACCAGAAAGGGACGGCUAACUACGUGCCAGCAGCCGCGGUAAUACGUAGGUCCCGAGCGUUGUCCGGAUUUAUUGGGCGUAAAGCGAGCGCAGGCGGUUUGAUAAGUCUGAAGUUAAAGGCUGUGGCUCAACCAUAGUUCGCUUUGGAAACUGUCAAACUUGAGUGCAGAAGGGGAGAGUGGAAUUCCAUGUGUAGCGGUGAAAUGCGUAGAUAUAUGGAGGAACACCGGUGGCGAAAGCGGCUCUCUGGUCUGUAACUGACGCUGAGGCUCGAAAGCGUGGGGAGCGAACAGG